ensembl:snRNA U6 U6 spliceosomal RNA
UUGCUCAUUUCAACAUCCUAUGCACUAUAAUUGGAACCUUGCAGAUAGAUUAGCAUGGCCUCCACACCAGGAUGACAUGCACAUACAUGAAGAGCUCUGCCUAUUU